rnacentral:rRNA from 1 species
UAAUACGUAGGGGGCGAGCGUUGUCCGGAUUUAUUGGGCGUAAAGAGCUCGUAGGCGGUUGCGGAAGUCGGGUGUGAAAUACCGGGGCUCAACUCCGGGGCGCCAUUCGAUACUCCGCUGACUCGAGUCCGGUAGGGGAAGGUGGAAUUCCUGGUGUAGCGGUGAAAUGCACAGAUAUCAGGAGGAACACCGGUGGCGAAGGCGGCCUUCUGGGCCGGUACUGACGCUGAGGAGCGAAAGCUAGGGGAGCGAACAGGAUUAGAUACCCUGGUAGUCCUAGCCGUAAACGAUGGGCACUAGGUGUGGGGGGCUAUCCACUCCCUCCGUGCCGAAGCUAACGCAUUAAGUGCCCCGCCUGGGGAGUACGGCCGCAAGGCUA